CACGUAGUUGGCCGGCGCUUCUUAUCCAGCUACCGUCAACCCACCCACAAAAAGGAGCAGGCCUGCUUCACUGGCGAAAGAGGUUCACAACCCGAAGGCCUCCAUCCCUCACGCGGCGUCGCUGCAUCAGGCUUGCGCCCAUUGUGCAAUAUUCCCCACUGCUGCCUCCCGUAGGAGUCUGGGCCGUGUCUCAGUCCCAGUGUGACCGUCCACCCUCUCAGGCCGGCUACCCGUCACCGCCUUGGUAGGCCAUCACCCCACCAACAAGCUGAUAGGCCGCGAGCCCAUCCCCCACCGGAAAAAAACCUUUCCCAGGCCCACCAUGCGACAGACCCAGAAUAUCCCGUAUUAGCCACACUUUCAUGCGGUAUCCAGAAGAAGGGGCAGGUUACUCACGUGUUACUCACCCGUUCGCCACUCAUCCAGGACCAGCAAAACCAGUCCCUUCACCGUUCGACUUGCAUGUGUUAAGCACGCCGCCAGCGUUCGUCCUGAGCCAGGAUCAAACU
rnacentral:rRNA from 1 species